UCCUGAUAUAAUAGAAUUAAUAUUUUAAAAGAACUUAUUAAUUAUAAAUAGAUUAAAUUAAUUAAGAAAAUAGUAAAAGGAAAAGAAUAGUAUAUAAAAUGUAAGUAAUUAAACUGAAAAGGAUAAGAUAAAAAUUAAUUAUUAGUAAAAUUUAAAUUUUGUACCUUUAGCAUUAUGGAUUGAUAAUAUAUUGCAUUAAAUAAUUGUUUCUCGAAAUAAAAAGAUUUAUUUAAUAAAGGGUUGAUCCUAAAUGAUUUUAACGUUGUAUAGUUAUGUUAUUAUUAUUAAAUGGUAGUGAAAUGCUAUUCGAUUUUUAUGUUAGCUAGUUUAUUAUUUAAGUACAUAUUAGUGUUAUUUAACAAAAUAUGUAAUUACAUAUAUUUGUUAAAUAAAUAAUUAAUGGGGGAAAAGCUUCAUAUUAUUGUUAAGAUUAAAAUAUAAAAAUAGUUUGUUUAUUUAAGUUGAAUUAAAUAAUUUAAUUUAUAAUUUCAAUAAUUAAAUUAUUGGUAUAAAUCUUGAUAAAUUUUAAUAAAAUUUUAUUAAUUAUUAUAAUAAUUUAAUAUAAUGUUAAUAUGAGUAUUGUUAAUUUAACUUAAUUAAAUUUUGUUAGAAAAUAUAAUUGAAAGUGUUAAUAAAAUAAUGUAAUUGAAAUAAUUAUAAAUAAAAUAAAUAAAAGGAAUUCGGCAAAUAUCAAUUUCGCCUGUUUAUCAAAAACAUGUCUCUUUGUUUUUUACAUAUAAGGAGUCGGGCCUGCUCAGUGAUAUUAUAUUUAACAGCUGCAGUAUAAUAGCUGUACUAAGGUAGCAUAAUAAUUUGCCUUAUAAAUUAAGGCUAGAAUGAAUGGUUUGACGAAAGUUGAUCUGUCUCUUAUUUACUUAUUAGAAAUUAAUUUUUAUAGUGAAAAAGCUUUAAUUAAUUAAAGGGACGAGAAGACCCUAUUGAGCUUUUAUCAGAUAUAUAUAAAAUUAUUUUAAAAUUAUAUAUUAAAUGAUUUUGAUUGGGGUGAUCGAGGAAUAAAAUAAAUUAGUAACUUCCUUAAUAUAAAAUUAUUGAUAAAUUAAUUAACCAAUAUUUUGCUUACGUGAAUAAGUUACCAUAGGGAUAACAGCGUAAUUUUUUUAGAGAGUUCUUAUUGAUAAAAGAGAUUGCGACCUCGAUGUUGGAUUAAAAUAACCUUAAGGUGAAGAAGCUUUAAUAGGUGAAUCUGUUCGAUUUUUAAAAUUUUACAUGAUCUGAGUUCAGACCGGUGUAAGCCAGGUUGGUUUCUAUCUUUUAAUGAAAUGUGUUGUUUGUAUCUAGUACGAAAGGACCGAUUUAUAACUAAAAGUGUUUAAUUAAAAUAUAUAAAGUUGACAGAAUAUAUGUGAGUGAAUUAGGAUCAUUU
rnacentral:rRNA from 1 species